rnacentral:misc_RNA from 1 species
GAGAGAGAGAGAGAGAGAGAGUCAUUAGUCAUAUACUAGCAAAAUCAUUGUCAGCAUCAUGCAAAAACAGAAAUUCUAUUGUACUUCAUACUUCAAAUUUAGAAUUAUUAACAGAUCACGAAUAUUCUCAAAAUUUGGCUAGACUUAAAAACUCUUGUUUGGUAUUAACCAAAAUCGUCCAAUAGGAUGCCAAAGUUGAGAGACAGAUUAUGAAACAACCACAUCAGCUUAAAAGAAAAUUCAAAUAUGGCAAAACCUUUAGAUGGAAUUUUUUCAAAAAUUCUUCGGUACAAUCAGGUCCCCACAAUAGACCAAUGCCU